rnacentral:rRNA from 1 species
GUGGGGAAUAUUGGACAAUGGGCGAAAGCCUGAUCCAGCCAUGCCGCGUGUGUGAAGAAGGUCUUCGGAUUGUAAAGCACUUUAAGUUGGGAGGAAGGGCAGUAAGUUAAUACCUUGCUGUUUUGACGUUACCGACAGAAUAAGCACCGGCUAACUUCGUGCCAGCAGCCGCGGUAAUACGAAGGGUGCAAGCGUUAAUCGGAAUUACUGGGCGUAAAGCGCGCGUAGGUGGUUUUGUAAGUUGGAGGUGAAAUCCCCCGGCUCAACCUGGAAACUGCCUCUAAAACUGAAUGACUAGAGUACGGUAGAGGGUAGUGGAAUUUCCUGUGUAGCGGUGAAAUGCGUAGAUAUAGGAAGGAACACCAGUGGCGAAGGCGACUACCUGGACUGAUACUGACACUGAGGUGCGAAAGCGUGGGGAGCAAACAGGAUUAGAAACCCCUGUAGUCC